rnacentral:lncRNA from 1 species
GGAAGUGACUGUAGGUUUAGAUGAAUGGAAAAUGAACUUGCCAGUUCACAGCUAUGUCCUUCCCAAUUUAGGAGGUUAAGGGCAGGAAAAACAUGAGAAACUCUUUUGAGAAGCUGCACAAGCUGACAUGGAGGAUCAAGGAUUUCAAAAGCUUUGAAUAUAAAGAGGUGUCAGACUUACAUCAGAGCCUGAGACUUGACAUGCCUAUUUUUGCACUCGCUCAUUUUUCAAAUUUCAUAGGCAUUGCUCCCUCCAAAUCACCGCUCUUCUAAUUUUAUCCUGGAGUGUGCAUCCCAGAAGACAUAAGCUGACACAAUUGGGAACUGAAGUUGCUUGAAAAAGCUGGUGGGAUCAGCAUCAUAUAUCACUAUUUCUCAAAGAUUAUCUGGUCUCUUGAUGGCAAAUCUACAAUAUUGAAACCUUUGAAAGAGAAAUUGUGUUUUGUGAGUUACAUGACUACCGUUUGCAUCCAAGGUCUCCUCUGUAGUCAAGAGAAGAAUGCAGAAACUACAUGUCCAAGAAUCUCUUUCCAGACUCUAGACAGCUUAUACGUAUUUGGACAAGGCAACGUGAUGAAGAAAUAAUAUAAUUGUAGGAUCACCUCUGUCCAGUAGCUGUUAUCCAACAUCUGCAUACUUAGAUUUCUGGAGAGAUAUCCAUGAAUGACCAUGAAAGUACAGCAAGUGAUUUUCAAGCUGCAAACAAAUUUUAGCAAGCAAAUGGAAGAAGAAAGAGGAGAGUGGUGGUGUGUGCUUUCCCUUUAAUGGCAGAACCCAACAGUCGUACACACCACUUCUACCCUCUUAAGAUGGGUCAGAAUCCAGGCCCAAUUCCAUGUAUACAUGGAAGAGAGGCUUAUUAAAGUAGCCUUCAGUUGCUGGACAGAGUUCCAUCCAAAACUACAGUUAAUAGGUAAGUCGAGAACUUACAUUAAGUGAUAAAUGGCAGUCUCUGCCAAGGAAAAUAUUCUUAUCCAUGCUCAUGGAUAAGAAGAAUCAAUAUCAUGAAAAUGGCCAUACUGCCAAAAGUAAUUUAUAGAUUCAAUGCUAUUCCCAUCAAGCUACCAUUGACUUUCUUCACAGAAUUAGAAAAAACUACUUUAAAUUUCAUAUGGAACCAAAAAAGAGCCUGCAUAGCCAAGACAAUCCUCAGCAAAAAGAACAAAGCUGGAGGCAGCAUGCUACCUGACUUCAAACUACACUACAAAGCUACAGUAACCAAAACAGCUUGGUGCUGGUACCAAAACAGAUACAUAGACCAAGGGAACAGAACAGAGGCCUAAGAAAUAACACCACACAUCUACAACCAUUGAAACUUUGACUAACCAGACAAAAACAAGCCAUGGGGAAAGGAUUCCCUAUUUAAUACAUGCUGAUGGAAAAACUAGCUAGCCGUCUGCAGAAAACUGAAACUGGACCUUAUACAAAAAUUAACUUACAUCUUAUACAAAAAUUAACUCAAGAUAGAUCAAAGAUUUAAGUGUAAGACCUAAAACCAAAAAACCCUAGAAGAAAACCUAGGCAAUACCAUUCAGGACAUAGGCAUUGCCAAAAACCUUAUGAUGAAAAUACCAAAAGGAAUGGCAACAAAAGCCAAAAUUGACAAAUGGGAUCUAAUUAAACUAAAGAGCUUCUGCACAGCAAAAGAAACUACCAUCAGAGUGAACAGGCAACCUACAGAAUGGGAGAAAAAUUUUGAAAUCUAUCUUUCUGACAAAGGGCUAAUAUCCAGAAUCUAUAAGGAACUUAAACAAAUUUACAAGAAAAAAACAAACAACUCCAUCAGAAAUUGGGCAAAGGAUAUGAACAGACACAUCUCAAAAGAAGACAUUUAUGCAGCCACCAAACACAUGAGAAAAAGCUCAUCAUCACUGGUCAUUAGAGAAAUGCAAAUCAAAACCACAAUGAGACACCAUCUCACAUCAGUUAGAAUGGCGAUCAUUAAAAAGUCAGGAAACAACAGAUUCUGGAGAGAAUGUGGAGAAAUAGAAAUGGUUUUACACUGUUGGUGGGAGUGUAAAUUAGUUCAACCAUUGUGGAAGACAGUGUGGUGAUUCCUCAAAAAUCUAGAACUAGAAAUAACAUUUGACCCUGAAAUCACAUUACUGGGUAUAUACCCAAAGAUUAUAAAUCAUUCUACUAUAAAGACACAUGCACACGUAUCUUUAUUGCAGCACUAUUCACAAUAGCAAAGAUUUAGAACCAACCCAAGUGCCCAUCAAUGAUAGACUGGACUAAGAAAAUGUGGCAUAUGUACACCAUGGGAUACUAUGCAGCCAUAAAAAGAAUGAGUUUAUGUCCUUUGCAGGGACAUGGAUGAAGCUGGAAACCAUCAUUCUCAGCAAACUAACACAGGAACAGAAAACCAAACACCGCAUGUUGUCACUCAUAAGUGGGAGUUGAACAAUGAGAAUAUAUGGGCACAGGGAGGGGAACAUCACACACUGGGGCCUGUCUGGGGGUUGGGGGCAAUGGAAAGGAUAGCAUUAGGUGAAAUACGUAAUGUAGAUGGUGGGUUGAUGGGUGCAGAAAACCACCAUGGCACAUGUACACCUAUGUAACAAAUCUGCAUGUUCUGCACAUGUAUCUUAGAACUUAAGCAUAACAAAAAAAUAUAUUUCUGGGCAGAGGAAAAAUACUUUGAAAUUUACAUUUAAUCCAGUAAAAUUUCAGUGCAUUAAAUUAAAGCUUGUAAUAUAAUAAUGAUAAUAACAGACAGCAUUUAAAGAGCACCUCUUGUGGAUAAUCAAGUUAUUGAGAAAUUAUGUGUGUUAUCUCUGGGAUAAAGAUUGCUGCAUCCUUAUAUUCUUGUGUAUAAACAGACCCUGUAUAUGUAAAAAAAGGAAAGAGAAAAGUAUUUUUAAAUGCACUAAUUUGUAAUUACCACAUAAACUAUUACUCAUGGAAGAUU